rnacentral:misc_RNA from 1 species
GUCGAAGUGCAGAGUCUGGAAGCCCUGUGGAUAUCAUCUCAUCUUUAAGGAGCUAUGAAAGUGCUAGAAAACUUCGAGUUGGAGUCAUCCAUGGACUGGCUAGAAUGGCUGCAAUCAUGGCAUCUACUUACAAGGCUUAUCUUGGCGUCGGACUUGGUCCACUAUCAUUUUUGACGCAGUAUAGAAUACCACAUCCUGGAAGAGUUGGUGGAAGAGUUUUUAUUGACUUGGGAAUGCCUCUGAUGUUAAGUUGGGUUCUAGGAGGCAAUGGGGACAAGCUUGAAGGCAGAAUAAAACAUUGCAGGCUAUCUGAGAAAGCAAAUGACCAAUUGAGAAAAUGGUUUGAAGAUGAUGAUGCUUUAGAGCGUGCUACUGAUGCAGAGUGGUUACUUUUACCUGCGGGGAAUGGCUCUUCUGGUUUAGAAGCUAUUGUUUUAAGCAGAGAUGAGGAUGUCCCUUGCACUGUCGGGUCCAUCUCACAUACAAAUAUUCCUGGAAAAUCAAUAGUUUUACCUUUGCCACAGGUAUCUGAAAUGCACGCCCGGAUAUCAUGCAAAGACGGAGCAUUUUUUGUAACUGAUUUACGAAGUGAACAUGGUACCUGGGUUACAGAUAAUGAAGGCAGAAGAUAUCGGACGUCUCCAAACUUCCCUACACGUUUUCAUCCAUCAGAUGUUAUCGAAUUUGGUUCUGAUAAGGCAGCAUUUCGUGUUAAAGCAAUGAAAUUUCCACUAAAAACUUCUGAAAGGAAGGAAGAGCGCGAAGCAGUGGGGUCGAGUUGAAACACAUUAGACAGGCAGUUGGAUUCCUAGUUAUCCAUCAAAAGCCCAAAAAGUCAUUGAAUGAAAUCACUAAUGAACUUUGUCCAGUGCUUAGCAUACAGCAACUGUAUAGGAUCAGCACUAUGUACUGGGAUGACAAAUACGGAACCCACACUGUCUCUUCAGAUGUUAUUUCAAGUAUGAGAGUUAUGAUGACAGAGGACUCCAACAAUGCUGUCAGCAGUUCCUUUUUGU